rnacentral:lncRNA from 1 species
CGCAAGAUGGCGGCGGCCAGGGCCAAGGCACGGAGCGGUGAGGCCAGAGCGCGGUGUCACCGGGCUCCAGGUCCGCCCCAGAGGCCCAAACCCAGGCGAACGACGAGACGCUGCCGCGCGGACACCGUGACGGCGCGACGCUCGCGGUCGUCUGCGGGCGGGAGACGCGCCGGCUCCAACCGAGCGAGGUCCAGAGCUCCGCGGGCCGCGGUCUUUGGCGGCGAGUGUGCACGAGGUGCCUCAUUCAAGGGGUGUGGAAUAUUAUCUUGUAAAGUGGAAAGGAUGGCCAGACUCUACAAACACCUGGGAGCCCUUGUGGAACCUCAGGUGCCCACAGCUCCUGCAGCAGUUCUCUGACGACAAGAAUACUUACUUAUCCCAGGGAAGGAAACGCAAGGCCAUCACUUCAAAAGACAAUAACAAAUCCUUGCAACCUGCAGUUGCUGAGUAUAUUGUACAGAAAGCUAGGCAAAGAAUAGCUCUGCAGAGAUGGCAAGAUUACCUCAACAGAAGAAAGAACCACAAAGGGAUGAUAUUUGUUGAAAAUACUGUUGACUUAGAGGGCCCACCUUCAGACUUCUACUACAUCAAUGAAUACAGGCCAGCUCCUGGGAUCACCUUAAACAGUGAAGCUACCUUUGGGUGUUCGUGUACAAACUGCUUCUUUGAAAAGUGUUGUCCUGCUGAAGCUGGAGUUGUUUUGGCUUAUAAUAAGAACCGACAAAUUAAAAUCCAACCAGGCACUCCCAUCUAUGAAUGCAACUCAAGGUGCCGAUGUGGACCUGAUUGUCCCAAUAGGAUUGUACAGAAAGGCACACAGUAUUCCCUGUGCAUCUUUAGAACUAGCAAUGGCUGUGGCUGGGGUGUAAAAACCCUUGU